AUCUGAGAAACAAAUGCAAACCCUAUUUCAUGAUCAAAGUUCAUAAAAAAGGAGUUUCAAAACAAAUUGUUUUGCCAUUCCAACAAAAAUGAACAUAUGGGAUGCUUUGGAAACAAAAAAAUGACAAAUUUUCACCUAGAUCUCGUAACAGACACUUCAGAUGAAGGCUUUCUCAGGUAUCCAGUUGUAAUUAUUCAUCCUAUUCAUAGAAUCAUUUUAAUGACAAAGCAACUUAACUAUCUAAUCACAUCAUCGCUGCUCUGCUUUUAUGGAAAUAUGAUGAUUAUGCUAAGAAGCAUUUUCAAAAGGUGGUGUGCAUCCUGGUUUCCAGCAGAUCCAUGAUACAGCAUUCACUCA
rnacentral:lncRNA from 1 species